UCAAGAAACUUCCACAAUGGGCGAAAGCCUGAUGGAGCGACGUCGCGUGAUGGACGAAGUGCUUCGGCACGUAAACAUCUUUUAUGUGGGAUGAAAUUAUUGACAGUACCACAUGAAUAAGGGGCUCCUAACUCUGUGCCAGCAGGAGCGGUAAUACAGAGGCCCCAAGCGUUAUCCGGAAUCACUGGACGUAAAGGGUGUCGAGGCGGUUGUAUUAGUCGUUCGUAAAAUCUACGAGCUUAACUUGUAGGCGGCGAACGAAACGGUACGACUUGAGGUUUGGAGAGGUGCGUGGAACUCACGGUGUAGGGGUGAAAUCCGUUGAUAUCGUGGGGAACACCAAAGGCGAAGGCAGCGCACUGGCCAAAAUCUGAUGCUCACACACGAAAGCUAGGGUAGCGAAGAGGAUUAGAUACCCCCGUAGUCCCUGAGCGGGCUGGCAAGGCGCAU
rnacentral:rRNA from 1 species